rnacentral:rRNA from 1 species
GACGAACGCUGGCGGCGUGCUUAACACAUGCAAGUCGAACGAAGAGCGAUGGAAGCUUGCUUCUAUCAGUCUUAGUGGCGAACGGGUGAGUAACGCGUAAUCAACCUGCCCUUCAGAGGGGGACAACAGUUGGAAACGACUGCUAAUACCGCAUACGAUCUAAUCUCGGCAUCGAGGAGAGAUGAACGGUGGCCUCUACAUGUAAGCUAUCACUGAAGGAGGUGAUUGCGUCUGAUUAGCUAGUUGGAGGGGUAACGGCCCCCCAAGGCGAGGUUCAGUAGUCGGACUGAGUGGAUGAGCGGCCAGACUGGGACGGAGACCCGGCACAGACUCAUACGGGAAGGAGCCGGGGGGAAUCUUCCGGAAUGGACGAAAGUCUGACGGAGCAACGCCGCGGGAGUGAUGACGGCCUUCGGGUUGGAAAGCUCUGUUAAUCGGGACGAAAGGCCUUCUUGCGAAUAGUGAGAAGGAUUGACGGUACCGGAAAAGAAAGCCACGGCUAACUACGUG